GCCUACAGCCAUGCCACCAUGAACGUGCCCGAUAUCAUCUGAUCUCAGAAGGUAAGCAGGGUCGAGCCUGGUUAGUUCUUAGAUGGGAGACUACCUUGGAACCUUGGAAUACAAGGUGCUGUAGGCG
ensembl:rRNA 5S_rRNA 5S ribosomal RNA